GGUACCAGUACUCGUUGCGGUGCAACGAUAGCUAAGGA
rfam:Clostridium sp. C105KSO13 isolate C105KSO131 genome assembly, contig: {contig170}